UGGCAGGCAAGGUUUUCAGGAUGUGAAAUAUUAUCCCAACUUGGUUCCCACCUUUAAAUGAGAGCAGGUUUGUCUCUCCAAAGAUCUUUAUCCAGAUUUCUUUACCUACAUGAAAUUCGUUUCAGAAAGCUAAGACUUCGUGUCAGGUUCAUUGGCAGAGAUGACUGGCAGAAUCCGAAACCCGGGAAGAGAAACAGCGGAAGAAGAUGGGAAGAAAUUCAAGGACUAUCUAAAGAAAUAUUGUAGAAUUAAUGAAUGUUAGAAUGACGUUGGGUUAGAAAAUAUGUGGUUAUCAGCGGUAAUGGAUAAGUAAAAAAGAAAAGAAAGGUUAAAAAUUAAGUGAAAAAUAAGGGAAGGAUUUGCUGAAUAAUAAAUUAGAAAUUGGAAUACAGAAAGGGGAGGUAUGAGGAAGUCGGGAAAGUAAGUUAUAAGAAAAUAAGGGUUGAAAUUAUACUUGUUUUUUUAGUUUCCGUUUGUCUGUUUUAAUGUAUUGUUUUGUUGUUAUAAAAAAAAACUUCUGAAACUUUAAUAAAAAAAUUAUUAAAAAAAAAAAAAGACUUCGUGUCAGGUUCAGAAGGAGACAACCAAGUCUGAAGAUAAAGAACAAGGCAGGAAAGAUAUGAU
rnacentral:lncRNA from 1 species